CCUACGGGCUGCAGCAGUGGGGAAUAUUGCACAAUGGGCGCAAGCCUGAUGCAGCCAUGCCGCGUGUAUGAAGAAGGCCUUCGGGUUGUAAAGUACUUUCAGCGGGGAGGAAGGCGAUAAGGUUAAUAACCGCAGCAAUUGACGUUACCCGCAGAAGAAGCACCGGCUAACUCCGUGCCAGCAGCCGCGGUAAUACGGAGGGUGCGAGCGUUAAUCGGAAUUACUGGGCGUAAAGCGCACGCAGGCGGUCUGUCAAGUCGGAUGUGAAAUCCCCGGGCUCAACCUGGGAACUGCAUUCGAAACUGGCAGGCUAGAGUCUUGUAGAGGGGGGUAGAAUUCCAGGUGUAGCGGUGAAAUGCGUAGAGAUCUGGAGGAAUACCGGUGGCGAAGGCGGCCCCCUGGACAAAGACUGACGCUCAGGUGCGAAAGCGUGGGGAGCAAACAGGAUUAGAUACCCCCGUAGUC
rnacentral:rRNA from 1 species